CUACCCAGAAGAGUGGCUCAAGUUCACAUUCAGAAUUUAUUUGUUGAAAGAGUAUCUCCACUUUAUCACAAUCGAGCACUUCCAAUUCUUUCAGAAGUGGCCAGCUUGAACUAAACCUUCUAGAGCAAAAUCUUUUGAGUUGGUGUAAACCGGAGAGUGUGAGAGAGGUAAGGUUAGGGAAUGAGAGUAAAGGUGCUGCUUCAUCUUCAUUUUCAUUGGCAACAAUUGCCUCCACUCCACUCUCCGAUAUAUAAAGGUCCUCAAGUUGCACAAGAGCACUCGCCACAGAAACCGGAAAAAGGUUUAGCAAUUUGUUGCAUCCCCUUACUUGCAAUUUCCUUAAUUUGGAAAAUGAAUUUGCUGGAAGUUGGUCAGGCCACAAUGCUCUUAUAUUAUCUAGUCCGCGUACAGACAAGGACUCCAAACCUGGGAGUGCAACCUGUGCAAUUGAUGAUCCCUUUAGUUAAUAAUAUAUACAUAUACAUUCCUAAUAAUUAGACACAUGUAAAUAGAAAAUAAGAGGUUAAAGGAGAAUAUAUCAGUAUAACAAAGCACAAAAUUUAAACUCUAUUCAAGAAGAUCCAGAAAGAGAAAAGAAAACGCCUUUUGAUUUUGAAGAUCCAAUGAAACUUUAAAAAAAAAAAAAAAAACCUCCAAAUUUUGCUUUCCAAAUGAGGUAAUAGGAGGAUAUUUUUAUUUUAUUUUUUCUUUGCCUCUCUUUCAAAUUUGAUUAACUUCCAUGGAAAACGUAUUUUAACUAGCCAUGGAAAAUGGAUUUUUUUUUUAAAACUUUUAUAUAAGAUACAAGAACUCUUAGAGGGUUACAUUAUGUAAGUAAUACUUUAAAAAAAAUGUUUAAAAAUAUUGUGAUAUCCAAAAAUUUUACUACCUCGGAUUUUAAAUUUUAAAAAAAUUAUUUUUAAAGAAAUAAGGUAAAUCUAUACUUUUUCGUAUAAGAUAUUCUACCUUUAUAUACAAAUUUCUGAUUUUUUUUUUAAAGUGUAUCCAAAUGGACACUAAACUAUCUAGUUUCGAAUUUUUACAACUUUGAAUUGGAUUUUAUGGUAAACUAAUUGACAAUAUAACGCAUGGAUUCAUCUUAGAUUCCAUCUAUAAAUUUUUUAAUUAUCUAAUAUAAGACAUUAUAUUAAUGGGUUGAAUUAAUAAUGUAAUUAUAAUUUAUUUGGCAACUUUCUUCCUUCAAAUAUAUAAGACGAAAAUAUAUUUUAAAAAAUAAAAAAGAAUGAUAAAAAAUAGAAAAUAAAAAUAGCUUAUUUUAUUGUUUUUCUAAGAUGAUUUUGUAGAGUGUUAGUUUAUAGUUUAACUUUAUUUCAUUUUACUUUUAACAUUAUUUAUUGAGGUAUGUUCUUUUUUGAAACUCUUGUUUAGAUUUUAUAGAGAAUAUAAAUUUUAAGAAAAAAAAUGAAAUUUAAAUAAAAUAAGAAUAAAGAAAGGCAAAAGGUGGAUGAAUUUUUUGAAGGCAAAAGUUUGAUAAUUUGGCACUGUCAUGUAAUGGGUGAAAUUUUUAAAUACUCAACAAAGGCUAGUGAAAUUUAAAUUAAAACCUUGACAUGUACCUUUUCGACCAAAAUCUUUGGAGUUGGUGUAAAGUUUUGAGUAUGAGAGAGGUUAGUCUAGGGAAUAUUAUUGCACAUUAGUUCAAAUAAAACAUCAACAUUUUUUUUUGUUAAAUUCUAAAUGAACACCACUAUAAAUUAAUGCGAUUUUGUAUGCUCAAUUAAAUAAACUCGUUCUUAAGGCAUCACAUGAAGUGUUUAAGUCUAAUUAAUAUUAAUUAAAAAUGAUUAUAUCAAAAAAAAUCCAAAGUAAUUUUUUUUUAUCAUAAGUCAAGUAGGAUAGUUUUAUAAAUAAUUGGUUCUAGUUUCUAGUAUUAUUGUACACAAUCGCUAUGUUUGUUGCACCUCCAAAAAAUCUACUACUUGUAAUUAAUUGUAUAUUAUUCUCCAUAUUCACAUCAGUUUAUGUAGUAUGAUUAAUUUAGCAACAAAAUAUAAGUUUACUUGAAAUCGCUUUAAAUUCCUAUGAUAUUAAAGUUUAAGAUUAAAACAAUGUAACAUUAGCCAAAAAGACUAAGAUCUAUAAUGUAACAAAUAAAAUUUAGAAAAUUCAAGGCAGGGUAAACUCGCACCUGUUCUACCCAGAAGAGUGGCUCAAGUUCACAUUCAGAAUUUAUUUGUUGAAAGAGUAUCUCCACUUUAUCACAAUCGAGCACUUCCAAUUCUUUCAGAAGUAGCCAGCUUGAACUAAACCUUCUAGAGCAAAAUCUUUUGAGUUGGUGUAAACCGGAGAGUGUGAGAGAGGUAAGGUUAGGGAAUAAGAGUAAAGGUGCUGCUUCAUCUUCAUUUUCAUUGGCAACAAUUGCCUCCACUCCACUCUCCGAUAUAUAUAGGUCCUCAAGUUGCACAAGAGCACUCGCCACAGAAACCCGAAAAAGGUUUAGCAAUUUGUUGAAUCCCCUUACAUGCAAUUUCCUUAAUUUGGAAAAUGAAUUUGUUGGAAGUUGGUCAGGCCACAAUGCUCUUAUAUUAUCCAGUCCGCAUACAUACAAGGACUCCAAGCCUUGGAGUGCAACCUGUGCAAUUGAUAAUCCCUUUGGUUAAUAAUAUAUACAUAUACAUUCCUAAUGAUUAGACACAUGUAAAUAGAAAAUAAGAGGUUAAAGGAGAAUAUAUCAGUAUAACAAAGCACAAAAUUUAAACUAGAUUAAAGAAGAUCAAGAAAGAGAAAAGAAAAGAAAAAGCCUCCAGAUUUUGAAGAUACAAUGAAACUUAAAAAAAAAAAAAAAAAACCUCCAAAUUUUCCUUUCGAAAUGAGGUAAUAAGAGGAUUUUUUUUUUCUUUUUUCUUUGCCUCUCUUUCAAAUUUGAUUAACUUCUAUGGAAAACGUAUUUUAACUAGUUAUGGAAAACGGAUUUUUUUUUUUAAAAACUUUUAUAUAAGAUACAAGUAAUACUUUAAAAAAAUUGUGAUAUCUAAAAAAUUUUUUGAAAAAUUAUUUUUAAAGAAAUAAGGUAAAUCUAUACUUUUUGUAUAAGAUGUUCUACCUUUGUAUUCAAAUUUCUGAUUUUUUUUUUUUAAAGUGUAUCCAAAUGCACACUAAACUAUCUAGUUUUUAAUUGUUACAACUUUGAAUUGGAUUUUAUGGUAAACUAAUUUACAAGUUAAUGCAUAGAUUCAUCUUAGAUUCCAUCUAUAAAUUUUUUUAAUUAUCUAAUAUAAGACAGUAUAUUAAUGGGUUGAAUUAAUAAUGUAAUUAUAAUUUAUUUGGCAACUUUCUUCCUUCAAAUAUAUAAAAUGAAAAUAAAUUUUAAAAAAUAAAAAAUAAAAAAAAGAUUUUUUUUAUAGUUUUUCUAAGAUGAUUUUGUAGAGUUCUGUUAGUUUAUAGUUUUCACUUUAUUUAUUGAGGUAUGUUCUUUUUUGAAACUCUUGUUUAGAUUUUAUUGAGAAUAUAAAUUUUAAGAAAAAAAAUAAAAUUUAAAUAAAAUAAGAAUAAAGAAAGGCAAAAGCUGGAUGAAUUUUUUUAAGGCAAAAGUUUGAUAAUUUGGCACUCUCAUGUAAUGGGUGAAAUUUUUAAAUACUCAACAAAGGCUAGUGAAAUUUAAAUUAAAACCAUGACAUGUACCUUUUAGACCAAAAUCUUUGGAGUUGGUGUAAUGUUUUGAGUAUGAGAGAGGUUAGUCUAGGGAAUAUUAUUGCACAUUAGUUCAAAUAAAACAUCAACAUUUUUUUUUGUUAAAUUCUAAAUGAACACCACUAUAAAUUAAUGCGAUUUUGUAUGCUCAAUUAAAUAAACUCGUUCUUAAGGCAUCACAUGAAGUGUUUAAGUCUAAUUAAUAUUAAUUAAAAAUGAUUAUAGUAAAAAAAAUCCAAAGUAAUUUUUUUUUAUCAUAAGUCAAGUAGGAUAGUUUUAUAAAUAAUUGGUUCUAGUUUCUAGUAUUAUUGUAGACAAUCGCUAUGUUUGUUGCACCUCCAAAAAAUCUACUACUUGUAAUUAAUUGUAUAUUAUUCUCCAUAUUCACAUCAGUUUAUGUAGUAUGAUUAAUUUAGCAACAAAAUAUAAGUUUACUUGAAAUGGCUUUAAAUUCCUAUGAUAUUAAAGUUUAAGAUUAAAACAAUGUAACAUUAGCAAAAAAGAUUAAGAUCUAUAAUGUAACAAAUAAAAUUUAGAAAAUUCAAGGCAGGGUAAACUCGCACCUGUUCUACCCAGAAGAGUGGCUCAAGUUCACAUUCAGAAUUUAUUUGUUGAAAGAGUAUCUCCACUUUAUCACAAUCGAGCACUUCCAAUUCUUUCAGAAGUAGCCAGCUUGAACUAAACCUUCUAGAGCAAAAUCUUUUGAGUUGGUGUAAACCGGAGAGUGUGAGAGAGGUAAGGUUAGGGAAUAAGAGUAAAGGUGCUGCUUCAUCUUCAUUUUCAUUGGCAACAAUUGCCUCCACUCCACUCUCUGAUAUAUAUAGGUCCUCAAGUUGCACAAGAGCACUCGCCACAGAAACCCGAAAAAGGUUUAGCAAUUUGUUGAAUCCCCUUACAUGCAAUUUCCUUAAUUUGGAAAAUGAAUUUGUUGGAAGUUGGUCAGGCCACAAUGCUCUUAUAUUAUCCAGUCCGCAUACAUACAAGGACUCCAAGCCUGGGAGUGCAACCUGUGCAAUUGAUAAUCCCUUUGGUUAAUAAUAUAUACAUAUACAUUCCUAAUAAUUAGACACAUGUAAAUAGAAAAUAAGAGGUUAAAGGAGAAUAUAUCAGUAUAACAAAGCACAAAAUUUAAACUAGAUUAAAGAAGAUCAAGAAAGAGAAAAGAAAAGAAAAAGCCUCCAGAUUUUGAAGAUACAAUGAAACUUAAAAAAAAAAAAAAAAAACCUCCAAAUUUUCCUUUCGAAAUGAGGUAAUAAGAGGAUUUUUUUUUUAUUUUUUCUUUGCCUCUCUUUCAAAUUUGAUUAACUUCUAUGGAAAACGCAUUUUAACUAGUUAUGGAAAACGGAUUUUUUUUUUUUAAAACUUUUAUAUAAGAUACAAGUAAUACUUUAAAAAAAUUGUGAUAUCUAAAAAAUUUUUUGAAAAAUUAUUUUUAAAGAAAUAAGGUAAAUCUAUACUUUUUGUAUAAGAUGUUCUACCUUUGUAUUCAAAUUUCUGAUUUUUUUUUUUAAAGUGUAUCCAAAUGCACAAUAAACUACCUAGUUUUUAAUUGUUACAACUUUGAAUUGGAUUUUAUGGUAAACUAAUUUACAAGUUAAUGCAUGGAUUCAUCUUAGAUUCCAUCUAUAAAUUUUUUUAAUUAUCUAAUAUAAGACAUUAUAUUAAUGGGUUGAAUUAAUAAUGUAAUUAUAAUUUAUUUGGCAACUUUCUUCCUUCAAAUAUAUAAAAUGAAAAUAAAUUUUAAAAAAUAAAAAAAAUGAAAAAAUAAAAAAUAAAAAAAAGAUUUUUUUUAUAGUUUUUCUAAGAUGAUUUUGUAGAGUACUGUUAGUUUAUAGUUUUCACUUUAUUUAUUGAGGUAUGUUCUUUUUUGAAACUCUUGUUUAGAUUUUAUUGAGAAUAUAAAUUUUAAGAAAAAAAAUGAAAUUUAAAUAAAAUAAGAAUAAAGAAAGGCAAAAGGUGGAUGAAUUUUUUUACGGCAAAAGUUUGAUAAUUUGGCACUAUCAUGUAAUGGGUGAAAUUUUUAAAUACUCAACAAAGGCUAGUGAAAUUUAAAUUAAAACCUUGACAUGUACCUUUUAGACCAAAAUCUUUGGAGUUGGUGUAAAGUUUUGAGUAUGAGAGAGGUUAGUCUAGGGAAUAUUAUUGCACAUUAGUUCAAAUAAAACAUCAACAUUUUUUUUUGUUAAAUUCUAAAUGAACACCACUAUAAAUUAAUGCGAUUUUGUAUGCUCAAUUAAAUAAACUCGUUCUUAAGGCAUCACAUGAAGUAUUUAAGUCUAAUUAAUAUUAAUUAAAAAUGAUUAUAGUAAAAAAAAUCCAAAGUAAUUUUUUUUUAUCAUAAGUCAAGUAGGAUAGUUUUAUAAAUAAUUGGUUCUAGUUUCUAGUAUUAUUGUAGACAAUCGCUAUGUUUGUUGCACCUCCAAAAAAUCUACUACUUGUAAUUAAUUGUAUAUUAUUCUCCAUAUUCACAUCAGUUUAUGUAGUAUGAUUAAUUUAGCAACAAAAUAUAAGUUUACUUGAAAUGGCUUUAAAUUCCUAUGAUAUUAAAGUUUAAGAUUAAAACAAUGUAACAUUAGCCAAAAAGAUUAAGAUCUAUAAUGUAACAUAUAAAAUUUAGAAAAUUCAAGGAAGGGUAAACUCGCACCUGUUCUACCCAGAAGAGUGGCUCAAGUUCACAUUCAGAAUUUAUUUGUUGAAAGAGUAUCUCCACUUUAUCACAAUAGAGCACUUCCAAUUCUUUCAGAAGUGGCCAGCUUGAACUAAACCUUCUAGAGCAAAAUCUUUUGAGUUGGUGUAAACCGGAGAGUGUGAGAGAGGUAAGGUUAGGGAAUAAGAGUAAAGGUGCUGCCUCAUCUUCAUUUUCAUUGGCAACAAUUGCCUCCACUCCACUCUGAAAUAUAUUUAGGUUCUCAAGUUGCACAAGAGCACUCGCCACAGAAACCGGAAAAAGGUUUAGCAAUUUGUUGCAUCCCCUUACUUGCAAUUCCCUUAAUUUGGAAAAUGAAUUUGCUGGAAGUUGGUCAGGCCACAAUGCUCUUAUAUUAUCUAGUCCGCAUACAGAAAAGGACUCCAAGCCUGGGAGUGCAACCUGUGCAAUUGAUGAUCCCUUUAGUUAAUAAUAUAUACAUAUACAUUCCUAAUAAUUAGCACAUGUAAAUAGAAAAUAAGAGGUUAAAGGAGAAUAUAUCAGUAUAACAAAGCACAAAAUUUAAACUAGAUUCAAGAAGAUCAAGAAAGAGAAAAGAAAAGAAAAAGCCUCCAGAUUUUAAAGAUACAAUGAAACUUAAAAAAAAAAAAAAAAAACCUCCAAAUUUUCCUUUCGAAAUGAGGUAAUAAGAGGAUUUUUUUUUUUUUCUUUUUUCUUUGCCUCUCUUUCAAAUUUGAUUAACUUCUAUGGAAAACGUAUUUUAACUAGUUAUGGAAAACGGAUUUUUUUUUUAAACUUUUAUAUAAGAUACAAGUAAUACUUUUAAAAAAUUGUGAUAUCUAAAAAAGUUUUUGAAAAAUUAUUUUUAAAGAAAUAAGGUAAAUCUAUACUUUUUGUAUAAGAUCUUCUACCUUUAUAUACAAAUUUCUGAUUUUUUUUUUUAAAGUGUAUCCAAAUGGACACUAAACUAUCUAGUUUUUAAUUGUUACAACUUUGAAUUGGAUUUUAUGGUAAACUAAUUUACAAGUUAAUGCAUGGAUUCAUCUUAGAUUCCAUCUAUAAAUUUUUUUAAUUAUCUAAUAUAAGACAUUAUAUUAAUGGGUUGAAUUAAUAAUGUAAUUAUAAUUUAUUUGGCAACUUUCUUCCUUCAAAUAUAUAAAAUGAAAAUAAAUUUUAAAAAAUAAAAAAGAAUGAAAAAAAUAAAAAAUAAAAAAAGCUUUUUUUUAUAGUUUUUCUAAGAUGAUUUUGUAGAGUACUGUUAGUUUAUAGUUUUAACUUUAUUUCAUUUUACUUUUAACUUUAUUUAUUGAGGUAUGUUCUUUUUUGAAACUCUUGUUUAGAUUUUAUAGAGAAUAUAAAUUUUAAGAAAAAAAAAGGAAAUUUAAAUAAAAUAAGAAUAAAGAAAGGCAAAAGGUGGAUGAAUUUUUUUAAGGCAAAAGUUUGAUAAUUUGGCACUAUCAUGUAAUGGGUGAAAUUUUUAAAUACUCAACAAAGGCUAGUGAAAUUUAAAUUAAAAGCUUGACAUGUACCUUUUCGACCAAAAUCUUUGGAGUUGGUGUAAAGUUUUGAGUAUGAGAGAGGUUAGUCUAGGGAAUAUUAUUGCACAUUUGUUCAAAUAAAACAUCAACAUUUUUUUUUGUUAAAUUCUAAAUGAACACCACUAUAAAUUAAUGCGAUUUUGUAUGCUCAAUUAAAUAAACUCAUUCUUAAGGCAUCACAUGAAGUGUUUAAGUCUAAUUAAUAUUAAUUAAAAAUGAUUAUAUUAAAAAAAAUCCAAAGUAAUUUAUUUUUAUCAUAAGUCAAGUAGGAUAGUUUUAUAAAUAAUUGGUUCUAGUUUCUAGUAUUAUUGUACACAAUCGCUAUGUUUGUUGCACCUCCAAAAAUCUACUACUUGUAAUUAAUUGUAUAUUAUUCUCCAUAUUCACAUCAGUUUAUGUAGUAUGAUUAAUUUAGCAACAAAAUAUAAGUUUACUUGAAAUCGCUUUAAAUUCCUAUGAUAUUAAAGUUUAAGAUUAAAACAAUUUAACAUUAGCCAAAAAGAUUAAGAUCUAUAAUGUAACAUAUAAAAUUUAGAAAAUUCAAGGAAGGGUAAACUCGCACCUGUUCUACCCAGAAGAGUGGCUCAAGUUCACAUUCAGAAUUUAUUUGUUGAAAGAGUAUCUCCACUUUAUCACAAUCGAGCACUUCCAAUUCUUUCAGAAGUGGCCAACUUGAACUAAACUUUCUAGAGCAAAAUCUUUUGAGUUGGUGUAAACCGGAGAGUGUGAGAGAGGUAAGGUUAGGGAAUAAAAGUAAAAGUGCUGCUUCAUCUUCAUUUUCAUUGUGAACAAUUGCCUCCACUCCACUAUAAAAUAUAUUUAGGUUCUCAAGUUGCACAAGAGCACUCGCCACAGAAACCGGAAAAAGGUUUAGCAAUUUGUUGCAUCCCCUUACUUGCAAUUUCCUUAAUUUGGAAAAUGAAUUUGCUGGAAGUUGGUCAGGCCACAAUGCUCUUAUAUUAUCUAGUCCGCAUACAGACACGGACUCCAAGCCUGGGAGUGCAACCUGUGCAAUUGAUGAUCCCUUUAGUUAAUAAUAUAUACAUAUACAUUCCUAAUAAUUAGACACAUGUAAAUAGAAAAUAAGAGGUUAAAGGAGAAUAUAUCAGUAUAACAAAGCACAAAAUUUAAACUAGAUUGAAGAAGAUCAAGAAAGAGAAAAGAAAAGAAAAAGCCUCCAGAUUUUGAAGAUACAAUGAAACUUAAAAAAAAAAAAAAAAAACCUCCAAAUUUUCCUUUUGAAAUGAGGUAAUAAGAGGAUUUUUCUUUGCCUCUCUUUCAAAUUUGAUUAACUUCUAUGGAAAACGUAUUUUAACUAGUUAUGGAAAACGGAUUUUUUUUUUUUAAACUUUUAUAUAAGAUACAAGUAAUACUUUAAAAAAAUUGUGAUAUCUAAAAAAUUUUUUGAAAAAUUAUUUUUAAAGAAAUAAGGUAAAUCUAUACUUUUUGUAUAAGAUGUUCUACCUUUAUAUACAAAUUUCUGAUUUUUUUUUUUUAAAGUGUAUCCAAAUGGACACUAAACUAUCUAGUUUUUAAUUGUUACAACUUUGAAUUGGAUUUUAUGGUAAACUAAUUUACAAGUUAAUGCAUGGAUUCAUCUUAGAUUCCAUCUAUAAAUUUUUUUAAUUAUCUAAUAUAAGACAUUAUAUUAAUGGGUUGAAUUAAUAAUGUAAUUAUAAUUUAUUUGGCAACUUUCUUCCUUCAAAUAUAUAAAAUGAAAAUAAAUUUUAAAAAAUAAAAAAAUGAAAAAAAUAAAAAAUAAAAAAAGAUUUUUUUUUAUAGGUUUUCUAAGAUGAUUUUGUUGAGUACUGUUAGUUUAUUGUUUUAACUUUAUUUCAUUUUACUUUUAACUUUAUUUAUUGAGGUAUGUUCUUUUUUGAAACUCUUGUUUAGAUUUUAUAGAGAAUAUAAAUUUUAAGAAAACAAAUGAAAUUUAAAUAAAAUAAGAAUAAAGAAAGGCAAAAGGUGGAUGAAUUUUUUUAAGGCAAAAGUUUGAUAAUUUGGCACUAUCAUGUAAUGGGUGAAAUUUUUAAAUACUCAACAAAGGCUAGUGAAAUUUAAAUUAAAAGCUUGACAUGUACCUUUUCGACCAAAAUCUUUGGAGUUGGUGUAAAGUUUUGAGUAUGAGAGAGGUUAGUCUAGGGAAUAUUAUUGCACAUUAGUUCAAAUAAAACAUCAACAUCUUUUUUUGUUAAAUUCUAAAUGAACACCACUAUAAAUUAAUGCGAUUUUGUAUGCUCAAUUAAAUAAACUCGUUCUUAAGGCAUCACAUGAAGUGUUUAAGUCUAAUUAAUAUUAAUUAAAAAUGAUUAUAUUAAAAAAAAUCCAAAGUAAUUUUUUUUUAUCAUAAGUCAAGUAGGAUAGUUUUAUAAAUAAUUGGUUCUAGUUUCUAGUAUUAUUGUACACAAUCCCUAUGUUUGUUGCACCUCCAAAAAAUCUACUACUUGUAAUUAAUUGUAUAUUAUUCUCCAUAUUCACAUCAGUUUAUGUAGUAUGAUUAAUUUAGUAACAAAAUAUAAAUUUACUUGAAAUCGCUUUAAAUUCCUAUGAUAUUAAAGUUUAAGAUUAAAACAAUGUAACAUUAGCCAAAAAGAUUAAGAUCUAUAAUGUAACAUAUAAAAUUUAGAAAAUUCAAGGAAGGGUAAACUCGCACCUGUUCUACCCAGAAGAGUGGCUCAAGUUCACAUUCAUAAUUUAUUUGUUGAAAGAGUAUCUCCACUUUAUCACAAUAGAGCACUUCCAAUUCUUUCAAAAGUGGCCAGCUUGAACUAAACCUUCUAGAGCAAAAUCUUUUGAGUUGGUGUAAACCGGCGAGUUCGAGAGAGGUAAGGUUAGGGAAUAAGAGUAAAGGUGCUGCUUCAUCUUCAUUUUCAUUGUGAACAACUGCCUCCACUCCACUCUGCAAUAGAUUUAGGUCCUCAAGUUGCACAGGAGCACUCGCCACAGAAACCGGAAAAAGGUUUAGCAAUUUUUUGCAUCCCUUUACUUGCAAUUUCCUUAAUUUGGAAAAUGAAUUUGCUAGAAGUUGGUCAGGCCACAAUGCUCUUAUAUUAUCUAUGAUAACCACAACAUUCAAACCACCGAGAUUUCCUUGGCUUCUCACUUAUCUUUUCCACCAGAUAAGUGUUUAUCCACUUUAAGAGAUAACUCUUGACUAUUUUUAAAUUUCUGUUAUUGUGUAUUUCAAAUCUCCUUCUGUAAUUGUAUAUAAAUGAGAAUAGCCACCCGGUUUUUGGCAUUGAAGCCAAUACCAUUUUACAGAUUUCUACAGAGUCUUACAUGGUAUCAGAGCAAUUGGCAUACGCCUAAUUUCAAUCGAUCCUUUCCUUCUCAACUAUGGCCUUCUCUUCUUCCGCUUCCUCCAAUGUUAUCUUUGCUCCUCCAAACAUUGGUCAUCUGGUGUCGAUCAAGCUGAGUGACACAAACUAUCUUAUAUGGUCAUCUCAGAUUGUGCCAGUACUGAAAAGUCAUGACUUGAUGGGCUUCAUGGAUGGUUCUGAGCCGUGUCCAUCAAAAUCUCUUGAUGGUUCUCUUAAUCCAGCAUAUAUUCUCUGGAAUAAGAAAGAUCAGUGUGUGUUAAGUUGGAUCAAUGCCACUUUGUCUGACAAGGUGCUAGCUUCUGUUUAUGGCAUCACAUCUGCUCGAGAGGUGUGGAGUUCUCUGGCAAACAAGUUUGCCUCUCAAUCCAGAACCCGUGUACACCACCUAAAGCGAAAGUUGCAGACUCUUCAUCAAGGGUCAAUGAAGUGCACUGAUUUUCUUGAAAAAGCGAAGUUGGUGUCUGAUGAAUUAGCUGCAGUUGGUAAGCCACUUGAGGAUGAUGACUUAAUGUCUUAUAUUGUGAGUGGACUCAACCCAUCCUUUAAUCCCUUUAUAACCUCUCUGUCCUUUGCCACUAGAGACAAAAAUGUUUCUUUUGAAGACUUUCAAGCCGAGCUCUUGUCAUAUGAACUGUUAUUGGAAAACUAGAAUAUUGCUAUACCACCUGAGACAAAUAAUUUUGCUUUCUUCACUCCCAAAUCUAACCAACAACAGUACAAUCGCAAACCCAAAAACCCAAGUAAACCAUAUUCACGUCCUUCAUUUUCACAAAAUCCUCGUCCUCGAUAUUCACCACAACCCUCUGGUUUACCUUCCUCACCUCAGCCAAAUCAGAAGCAGCACUCAUUUUCCACUCCUAAGUCACCUUGUCAAAUCUGUGGAAAGCUAAGUCAUAAGGCAUUAGAUUGCUUUCAUAGAAUGGAUUAUGCAUAUCAGGGUCGUCAUCCACCAACCCAGUUAGCUGCUAUGGUGGCACAUAGCAAUGCUGAGCAAGAGGAAGAGACAUGGUUUGCUGACAGUGGAGCUAAUCAGCACAUUACUGCCAAUCUGGAGCAUCUUACUCUGCAACAACCAUACACAGGACAAGAAAAUGUAGCUAUUGGUAAUGGCCAAGGUUUAAGUAUUGCACAUACUGGUACUACUAUUUUUCAUACUCCUGAAGCUAAAUUAAACCUCAAACGUGUCCUCCAUUGUCCUCAAGCUUCUGCCAAUUUGCUUUCCAUAAAUCAAUUCUGUCUUGAUAAUAAUUGCCUCUUUAUUCUAACUGGUACUCAUUAUUUUGUCAAGGACAUACAAACGGGGGCGACACUACUGGAAGGCAGGAGUGAAGGGGGUCUCUAUCCAAUCCAGUUGCGGUCAAUGUCUAUCAAUAAAUCACAUGCUUUGUCAGCCGUUGUAGGAAUUAAAGCAUCAGUUUCAGUUUGGCAUUCUAGAUUAGGACAUGCAUCUCUUCCCAUUGUGUCUCAGUUAUUAAAUAAACACUCCUUACCUGUUGAAGGAUCAGUGAAUAAAAUGCAUUUUUGUGAACCUUGCCAACUUGGCAAAGGUAAGCAACUUCCUUUCAAACCUUCUACUCGUGUUUCUUCCUUUCCUUUGCAAUUAAUUCAUACUGAUGUAUGGUCUUGUUCUACCAAAUCUCUCAGUGGAUGUAAGUAUUAUGUUAUAUUCAUUGAUGAUUUUUCACGAUUCUCAUGGCUUUAUCCUCUCCAAAAUAAAUCUGAUGUAUAUGCUUGCUUUGUUAAAUUCAAAACACUAGUUGAAAACCAAUUUUCUUGCAAAAUUAAGCAAUUACAAUCGGAUGGAGGUGGAGAAUACAUGUCCAACCAAUUUCAAUUGUUUCUUUCCUCUAAUGGAAUCCAACAUCGCCGCACUUGUCCUCAUACACCCCAACAAAAUGGGGUUGCUGAGCGUAAACACCGUCAUGUGGUGGAAAUGGGACUGUCUCUGUUAGCUCAGUCACUUUUGCCCACUAAAUUCUGGGUUGAUGCCUUUUUAACAUCCAUUUUUCUCAUCAAUAGACUACCAACAUCUACUCUUGAUAACCAAACACCAUAUCUUAAAUUAUUUGGCAAACAUCCUGAUUAUACCUCCUUGCGCACCUUUGGUUGUGCCUGUUUUCCAUUGUUACGGACCAUAUGCAACUCACAAAUUAAUGUUCAGAUCCAAACGUUGCAUAUUUCUAGGUUAUAGUUCCCAUCAAAAUGGAUAUAGAUGCUUGGAUCCUGUCACUCAAAAAGUUCUAAUCUCACGACAUGUUGUGUUUAAUGAGAAUACAUUUCCUGCUAAGGAUGGAUUGCAGUCUUCUGAACUUCUUCCAGUGGUCUCCUCUCAAGGUACGCCUUUACCUUCUCCUUCAUUUUCUUUAUCUACUUCUCAUUUACAGCAUUCCUCUCCAAUCAUUUCAGAUUCACCUGAUUCUCCUCUAGAAUCUUUACCUAUCCCCACUUCUCCUCAUAUCUCCACUCUACCUUCUCCCAUACCUAGUCCAGCUCCUACCCUUUCUAUACCUGAAUUUUCCUCUUCUUCCAAUCACUCUCAUCACCCCAUGACAACUCGCUCCCAAACAGGCAACCUCAAACCUCGCACAUUUUCAGAUUUUAAACUCUAUUCCACCCACUAUCCUCUCCAAGCAUUAUCCAGUACUGUGACUCCCCUUGCACCAACCUCCUACCGACAAGCUGCUUUAUUACCUGACUGGUGUGUUGCUAUGAGAGAGGAAUAUGAUGCUUUAUUGGCUAAUGAGACAUGGAAGCUAUGUCCUAGACCUGUUGAUCAUAAUGUGGUGGGAAAUAAGUGGGUGUAUAAAGUUAAACAAACAUCCACAGGUGAGGUUGACAGAUUCAAAGCAAGAUUAGUGGCUUUGGGAUUUGCUCAAGAAGAAGGUAUUGACUUUACUGAGACUUUUAGUCCAGUAAUUAAGCCUUCUACUGUACGGGUGCUUCUUACACUUUCUGUUCAAUUUGAUUGGGAAAUCAGACAGCUUGAUGUAUCUAACGCUUUUCUUCAUGGGAUCUUGCUAGAGGAUGUAUAUAUGGAGCAACCUAAGGGGUUUGUUAAUUCAGAUUUUCCAGAUUAUGUUUGCAAACUGAACAAGUCACUUUAUGGCCUCAAACAAGCACCUCGUGCUUGGUUUAUGCGUCUAUCUCAAACUCUACUUGAAUUCGGUUUCCUAUCCUCACCAGUGGAUGCCUCCUUAUUUGUCUAUCAUAAGGGCCAUAUUCAUCUAUUUAUCCUCAUCUAUGUAGAUGAUAUCCUUGUUACAGGUACAGAUCCUUCUCUCAUUCAGUCUCUAAUCCAAAAGCUACAAACCGAGUUCAAGAUGAAAGACCUUGGUCCUUUGGGCUAUUUUCUCGGCAUCCAAGCAAGUCGUGACUCUUCUGGCCUACAUCUUCGACAAUCCAAGUACAUUGGGGAUCUUCUUCAUCGUACCAAGAUGGCUGGGGCCAAACCUGCUUCCUCUCCUUGUACCACAGGUCUUAAAUUAUCCACUCAUGUUGGUGAGCCACUCACAGCUUCUCAAAUUACAGAAUAUCGACAAACUGUGGGAGCUCUUCAAUAUUGCACCUUGACUAGACCUGAUAUAGCAUUUUCUGUCAACCAACUAUGUCAACAUAUGCACUGUCCUAAUUCUGUUCAUUGGACAGCAGCAAAACGUGUCUUACGUUACUUAAAAGGCACCAUUGAUCUGGGAUUAUGGUACACUAAGGGCGAGCAAACUCUUCAAGCCUUUUGUGAUUCAGAUUGGGCUGGUAAUCCCGAUGAUCGAAGAUCAACUACUGGGUAUGGCGUUUUCUUUGGCUCUUGCUUAAUCUCAUGGACUGCCAAGAAACAAUCUGUGGUAGCUCGUUCUAGCACUGAAGCCGAAUAUAGGGCAUUAGCUAUUACUACUGCUGAGCUGUAUUGGAUUCGUAUGCUCCUCAAAGAACUUCAUAUUUCUUUGCCCACAGCUCCUACUAUUUGGUGUGAUAACAGUGGCGCUCUUGCUCUUGCUUCUAAUCCUGUGUUUCAUGCCCGCACCAAACAUAUUGAAGUUGAUUUUCACUUCAUCCGCGAGAAAGUUGCUAAUCGAGAUAUUUCCCUUCAGUUCAUCGGUUCUUAUGAUCAGCCUGCUGAUAUCUUUACAAAGGGACUAAGUUUAGCUCGGUUUUGUUUGCUUCGUGACAAGCUAAUGGUGGUUUCUCUCCCCAUUAGCUUGAGGGGGGAUGAUAACCACAACAUUCAAACCACCGAGAUUUCCUUGGCUUCUCACUUAUCUUAUCCACCAGAUAAGUGUUUAUCCACUUUAAGAGAUAACUCUUGACUAUUUUUAAAUUUCUGUUAUUGUGUAUUUCAAAUCUCCUUCUGUAAUUGUAUAUAAAUGAGAAUAGCCACCCGGUUUUUGGCAUUGAAGCCAAUACCAUUUUACAGAUUUCUACAGAGUCUUACAAUCUAGUCCGCCUACAGAAAAGGACUCCAAGCCUGGGAGUGCAACCUGUGCAAUUGAUGAUCCCUUUAGUUAAUAAUAUAUACAUAUACAUUCCUAAUAAUUAGACACAUGUAAAUAGAAAAUAAGAGGUUAAAGGAGAAUAUAUCAGUAUAACAAAGCACAAAAUUUAAACUAGAUUCAAGAAGAUCAAGAAAGAGAAAAUAAAAGAAAAAGCCUCCAGAUUUUGAAGAUACAAUGAAACUUAAAAAAAAAAAAAAAAAACCUCCAGAUUUUCCUUUCGAAAUGAGGUAAUAAGAGGAUUUUCUUUUUCUUUUUUCUUUGCCUCUUUUUCAAAUUUGAUUAACUUCUAUGGAAAACGUAUUUUAACUAGUUAUGGAAAACGGAUUUUUUUAAAAAAACUUUUAUAUAAGAUACAAGUAAUACUUUAAAAAAGUUGUGAUAUCUAAAAAAUUUUUGUAAAAAUUAUUUUUAAAGAAAUAAGGUAAAUCUAUACUUUUUGUAUAAGAUGUUCUACCUUUAUAUACAAAUUUUUGAUUUUUUUUUUUUAAGUGUAUCCAAAUGGACACUAAACUAUCUAGUUUUUAAUUGUUACAACUUUGAAUUGGAUUUUAUGGUAAACUAAUUUACAAGUUAAUGCAUGGAUUCAUCUUAGAUUCCAUCUAUAAAUUUUUUUAAUUAUCUAAUAUAAGACAUUAUAUUAAUGGGUUGAAUUAAUAAUGAAAUUAUAAUUUAUUUGGCAACUUUCUUCCUUCAAAUAUAUAAAAUGAAAAUAAAUUUUAAAAAAUAAAAAAAAUGAAAAAAAUAAAAAAUAAAAAAAGAUUUUUUUUAUAGUUUUUCUAAGAUGAUUUUGUAGAGUACUGUUAGUUUAUAGUUUUAACUUUAUUUCAUUUUACUUUUAACUUUAUUUAUUGAGGUAUGUUCUUUUUUGAAACUCUUGUUUAGAUUUUAUAGAGAAUAUAAAUUUUAAGAAAAAAAAUGAAAUUUAAAUAAAAUAAGAAUAAAGAAAGGCAAAAGGUGGAUGAAUUUUUUUAAGGCAAAAGUUUGAUAAUUUGGCACUAUCAUGUAAUGGGUGAAAUUUUUAAAUACUCAACAAAGGCUAGUGAAAUUUAAAUUAAAAGCUUGACAUGUACCUUUUCGACCAAAAUCUUUGGAGUUGGUGUAAAGUUUUGAGUAUGAGAGAGGUUAGUCUAGGGAAUAUUAUUGCACAUUAGUUCAAAUAAAACAUCAACAUCUUUUUUUGUUAAAUUCUAAAUGAACACCACUAUAAAUUAAUGCGAUUUUGUAUGCUCAAUUAAAUAAACUCGUUCUUAAGGCAUCACAUGAAGUGUUUAAGUCUAAUUAAUAUUAAUUAAAAAUGAUUAUAUUAAAAAAAAUCAAAAGUAAUUUUUUUUUAUCAUAAGUCAAGUAGGAUAGUUUUAUAAAUAAUUGGUUCUAGUUUCUAGUAUUAUUGUAGACAAUCGCUAUGUUUGUUGCACCUCCAAAAAAUCUACUACUUGUAAUUAAUUGUAUAUUAUUCUCCAUAUUCACAUCAGUUUAUGUAGUAUGAUUAAUUUAGCAACAAAAUAUAAGUUUACUUGAAAUCGCUUUAAAUUCCUAUGAUAUUAAAGUUUAAGAUUAAAACAAUGUAACAUUAGCCAAAAAGAUUAAGAUCUAUAAUGUAACAUAUAAAAUUUAGAAAAUUCAAGGAAGGGUAAACUCGCACCUGUUCUACCCAGAAGAGUGGCUCAAGUUCACAUUCAGAAUUUAUUUCUUGAAAGAGUAUCUCCACUUUAUCACAAUCGAGCACUUUCAAUUCUUUCAGAAGUGGCCAGCUUGAACUAAACCUUUUUGAGCAAAAUCUUUUGAGUUGGUGUAAACCGGAGAGUGUGAGAGAGGUAAGGUUAGGGAAUAAGAGUAAAGGUGCUGCUUCAUCUUCAUUUUCAUUGGCAACAAUUGCCUCCACUCCACUCUUCGAUAUAUAUAGGUCCUCAAGUUGCACAAGGGCACUCGCCACAGAAACCAGAAAAAG
rnacentral:lncRNA from 1 species